AGCCCAGAAUCACUCCCUCCAGGCCAGUGGGCUCUCCUGUUGUCCAGGUUAGGUGUAGAAAUGCCAUACAGGAGUCAAGUCCUGGAAUAGGCGACCCCGGGAAUCCACUUGGUGAUCUACCUCAUUUUGGCUGAGUUGUACCCAGGGUGCAUGACAAGGUCCUCAUUUACUCUUCCUUCUCCUUUUCUCAAUAGAAGGAGUCUCUCCCCAUAGGCACCGCAGCUAAGAAUGUGCUGAGUCGCACCUGGAGCCAGCACUGCUCUGAUUCUCACCCAAGGCCCACCAAAAAAGUUUGCUGAUGCCUACACUGGUACAUCAGGAUUGACUAUAAUUUCAAAGAAUGCAGAAAGAAAGAAACAAAAGCAAGUGAAAUACAACUGUUUCUAAAUUUC